rnacentral:rRNA from 1 species
CCUACGGGUGGCAGCAGUGAGGAAUAUUGGUCAAUGGGCGGGACCCUGAACCAGCCAAGUAGCGUGCGGGAAGAAGGUACUGUGUAUUGUAAACCUCUUUUGCCAGGGGACAAAGGCGGCCACGGGUGGCCGUAUGCGGGUACCUGGUGAAAAAGCAUCGGCUAAAUCCGUGCCAGCAGCCGCGGUAAUACGGAAGGUGCGAGCGUUAUCCGGAUUUAUUGGGUUUAAAGGGUGCGCAGGCCGCCUGUCAAGCUCGCCGGAAAAUGGCGGGGCUCAACCCUGGCCCUGCCGUGGAAACUGGCGGGCUCGAGUUGGAGAGAGGUAUGCGGAAUUCGUGGUGUAGCGGUGAAAUACAUAGAUAUCACGAAGAACCCCGAUUGCGAAGGCAGCCUACCGGAUCCACACUGACGCUGAGGCACGAAGGCGUGGGUAUCGAACAGGAUUAGAUACCCGUGUAGUC